rnacentral:rRNA from 1 species
AUCCGGUGAACCUGUUAUGCUGGUGCACAGACCAGCGACUCCCAACGGGUAAAGAAGACCCCGUGGACCUUUACUGCAGCUUGUCGUUGUGGUAUGGUUGCGGAUGUAGAGCGUAGGUAGGAGCCGUCGAGCUACUCGCGCCAGCGGGUAGGGAGGCGCCAAUGGAACACUACCCACUCGUGGCUGUACCACUAACCUCUUCGGAGGGACAUCGGUAGGUGGGCAGUUUCGCUGGGGCGGCAGCCCCCUGAAAAAAUAUCAGGGGGGCUCUAUGGUCGGCUCAACCGAGUCAGAAAUUCGGUGUAGAGUGUAAGGGCAAAAGCCGGCCUGAUUGGAGUCCUAAUAAGAUGGAAUCCAAAAGCGAAAGCUUGGCUUAGCGAACUUCCAUAGCUCCUUGAUGGGGCUUGGAAAUGACCGAAAAGUUACUCCGGGGAUAACAGAGUUGUCGCGCCUGAGAGUUCAUUGAAUUGCAUGCGCAUGUGCGCAUGCUCGCGAACAGAUCGACGGCGCGGCUUGCUACAUCGAUGUCGGCUCUACCUAUCCUGGAUGUGCAGAAGCAUCCAAGGGUGCGGGUGUUCACCGAUUAAAAGGUAUCGUGAGCUGGGUUCAGAACGCUGUGAGGCAGUUUGUUUGAUAUCUACUGGAGAUGUUUGAUGUCUGAAGGGAAUAAUCUUUUAGUACGAGAGGAACGAAGGUUAGAGGCCUCUGGUCUACCUGUUAUCUGACAAGGUAAGCAGGGCAGCUACGCCUUACAAGGAUAAGUGCUGAAAGCAUCUAAGCACGAAGCCUUCCUUGAAAAGAGACUCCUUAGAACACCGCAACAACAGCG